rnacentral:tRNA from 1 species
GUUUCAUAAGUAUAUUAGUAUAUUUGAUUUCCAAUCAAGGGGUUUUUGAUAAAUUUCAAAAAUGAAAUA